GCGGAUUUAGCUCAGUUGGGAGAGCGCCAGACUGAAGUAAUCUGGAGGUCCUGUGUUCAAUCCACAGAAUUCGCA
rnacentral:tRNA from 1 species